UCAAGCUCCUAUUCUUCCUUUCGGCACAACCAUUAUGUUUUGGCGUAUAAGGGGGAUUGACUUCGUGCACCAAAUCUUCUUCUUCACAGAAAUCCAUGAAUUCAUUGGAGAUAAACCAAACUUUGGGUUGAGGUUUCCCCUAUAAAUAGGCGAGUUGAAGGUACUGAUGGGACAUUCAAAUCAAGCAAUGCAAUGGUCUAGUAGAAGCAUGAGUAAUUUUGAAGGAAAACAAAGGAGGAAUGUGAGAGUGAAGUUUGAAGAGUUUAAUUGAAACAUUGGGUGUCCAAGUAAAGGUACUUCAGAGUUGGAUUGUUGGUGGGAUAAUGGCAUGAUAGAGUAUGGCACGUUAAGAAGGGGAGUUUUUGUGAUUGAUAAAUGUGUUUAUAUGCACUGAGUGUGUAAGUUUGUGCUAAACCUAAUUUAAAUGAAUUGUAUUCUUAUUUAUGUUCACUAGUGUUUAUGUGUUAUAAAUCGUUGUUGUUAAAUAUGGUUUUAUGUGUAUGUGAGGUAAGGUUAUAUGAAUGACAUGUUAUGUGUCUCAACAAAAGGAGGGCUUUGUGUAAGCAACCUUGUGUGGGCAGUGAUACCUUGUGGACUCUGUAAGUUUCCGUAUGAGCAAGGGUGGAGUUUGUAAGUUUUUGUGUGAACAUGAAUUUUAGCUUUAUUUGAGUGAAUGGUUGGUAAGCUCUGCGUGAGUGCCAUAGUUGGUAAUCUUGUGUGGGUUGAGAUAUCUUUUAAGGUUUAUGAAAAAACAUGUUUGAAAGCCCUGUGUGAGUGAAGCACUGGAUAACUCUGAGUGGA